GACGAACGCUGGCGGCGUGCUUAACACAUGCAAGUCGAACGGAGUGGCGAACGGGUGAGUAACACGUGUGUGAUCUGCCUUGCACUUCGGGAUAAGCUUGGGAAACUGGGUCUAAUACCGGAUAGUGCAAGAUGAGCUCGCGGCCUAUCAGCUUGUUGGUGGGGUAAUGGCCUACCAAGGCGUCGACGGGUAGCCGGCCUGAGAGGGUGUACGGAAGCAUUGGGGAGGAGGUACGGGGCAGAGUCAUACGGGGGGCAGGAGGGGGAAAUAUUGCACAAUGGGUGGAAGCCUGAUGGAGCGGUACAGAGUGGGGGAAAAAGGCAUGCGGGUUGUAAUCUCCUUUCGGCAGGGACGCGGUACCUGUAUAAGCAGCACCGGCUAACUACGUGCCAGCAGCCGCGGUAAUUC
rnacentral:rRNA from 1 species